rnacentral:rRNA from 1 species
UACGUAGGGUGCGAGCGUUGUCCGGAUUUAUUGGGCGUAAAGAGCUCGUAGGCGGUUUGUCGCGUCGGCCGUGAAAUCUCCACGCUUAACGUGGAGCGUGCGGUCGAUACGGGCAGACUUGAGUUCGGUAGGGGAGACUGGAAUUCCUGGUGUAGCGGUGAAAUGCGCAGAUAUCAGGAGGAACACCGGUGGCGAAGGCGGGUCUCUGGGCCGAUACUGACGCUGAGGAGCGAAAGCUAGGGUAGCAAACGGG